CUUGUCUUUGUUUUGGGUGUCGGUGGAGUUACUCAGUAGCCCGCCACAUUUACCCUUUGUGUUGUUAUUUACCGAGUAUCCGUUCUACAUUAAACAUCUAGCUACUGAACCACUGAAUGUGGUCGUCAUUUAUCGUAUAACGUAUUAUUAUUAAAAAAUAAUUAAUCAAAAAUUUAUUAAGUUGAAAUAAUUAUUAAUGCGUAUGUUAAUUAAAAAUACAAACUGUAAAUAGGAAGUGUAGUGUCUGUAUGUACUUGUAUAUACACAAUAUAACUUAAAAAAAUAAAAAGUGACCAACGGUGAAAAAUCAGGAGAGGAGGUAUACUUAAUGAUAAGGCAUUAUAAAGUUUUAUAAUACGUUAUAAAACCAAAUCAUAAUAAUACAUAAAGUAUUAUACAAUUUUUUUAUAUGAGCUCACCCGCUAGAAAAUUUUUAUAAUCAGAAUUUCGGAAAAUAUUUGAGAACCAGAGUACCAGGACCACUAAUUUAAUCUUAAUUGAACUAAAUGCAGAUUUAAAAUACUUCAAAGUAUUUGAACAAUUUUGUGGGUGUCUUGGCAUUUUUAUGAAGCAUCUUUUUGACCAUAAAUGUUAUAUUCUAUAAAAGUUUAUAUAUCUAUAAAUAAUAAAUACCUCCAUAACCAUAGAACAAACCAUCGAACUUUUUAUUUCUUUGAAUUUUGACCAUUACUAAUUUGUCUAUAUUUUUUACAGUUAUUCAAUUGUACUAGCUUGAAAUUUUUGGACGCCAAUUUUAACUAAUUAAUAAAUUAUCAACAUAAAAAAAAUUCUACUUUUUCUUCCAUUAGAGAAAUUAAAUUAGAUAUACAGCAUUCAGUAUGCACUCGUUGAUUUAUCGUGUACAAUACGCAAUAAAAAAUAUAAUAGCUUGAACAUUUGUUAAAUUUUUAAAAUGUUUUCUGUAUACUAUUAGAAAUUGAGAUGAUGAUUUUACAAAAAAAAUGUAUUGGAAGUUAAUAGACAGAAUAUUUAG